UACCUCGAUGGAAGAUCUGAGCCACGAAGAAAUCGUCACAUCUUACGUUCUGGCUCAUGUUGCCCAGUUGACUCUCGACUUAUCACAUGGCAUUUACUAGCGGAAAUACAACACGUAACAAGCUAUUGCAAGAAAUUAAGGCAAGUGCAAAUCUCAAGUGAAACUUCGAUCGCAAUAAUGGAUCUGUCAUGACGAGUGGGUAGUUCCGACACGAAUCGUUUUUAAGCCAAUGACUACUGCUAGAGUUACAUGGCACUAGUACAGUAAACCAGGACAUGAGACUGUGAAUUGUCGCUGAAAUUUUAGAAUCUACUCGAUUCAAUACCAAUAACACUACACGUUCGAUGACUUCGGGCUCCAGCAAGCAAGCAAACAAGAAAGCAAGCAAAUUUCCGUGGGGAAGAAAAAUUGACACAUCUGAAGUCGUCGUGACCUGUAAGAUAAGACGUCCGGUGCGUUCGUGUCGGGCGAUGCGGCGGUGUUCGGGUUCCGCUGGCGGAUGCAGGUUUUUCCGGUGAAGUGCGUGCUUGUGCGUGCUUGACAAGUGUUCGCGGUUGGCUUCCUCAGUGUGGGAGUAACAUCGUGUAGCCGGAGGUGAGACUUCCGCGGUCGCGGCCCACCCAGUCCGCGAGAACCGGGCAGAUCGCCUCGACGGUACGGAGGCCGGCCGACGGGUCCGCCAAACGACGAGACCUCGCCUCCAGCACGGACUGCCGAUAUUGGAGCCCCCGCGCUCCGGAUGCACUUGCGCUAGGGCGCGCCGCCUCGUAGGAGACUGUGAG